rnacentral:misc_RNA from 1 species
AACUUUUAGCAACGGAUCUCUUGGCUCUCGCAUCGAUGAAGAACGCAGCGAAAUGCGAUAAGUAAUGUGAAUUGCAGAAUUCAGUGAAUCAUCACAUCUUUGAACGCACCUUGCGCCCUUUGGCUAUUCCGAAGGGCAUGCCUGUUUGAGUAUCAUGAACACCUCAACUCUCAUGGCUUGCCAUGAUGAGCUUGGACUAUGGGGGUCUUGCUGGCCUAUGGUCGGCUCCUCUCAAAUGAAUCAGCUUGCCAGUGUUUGGUGGCGUCACAGGUGUGAUAACUAUCUACGCUUGUGGUUUUCCACCAGGUAACCUUCAGCAAUGGAGGUUCACUGGGGCUCACAAACGUCUCUCCUCAGUGGGGACAGCUCUUUAAACAUUUGAUCUCAAAUCAGGUAGGACUACCCGCUGAACUUAAGCAUAUCAAUAAGCGGAGGCU